GUGCUCGCUUCGGCAGCACAUAUACUAAAAUUGGAACGAUACAGAGAAGAUUAGCAUGGCCCCUGCGCAAAAAAACCCUAUUCCUUAUAAAAUAUAUUAAAAUGUU